rnacentral:lncRNA from 1 species
GGCCGGACUAGCGCACCGCACGGAAAGGGAGGAGGCAAGUGAUGUUGGCUUUCUAAGGCUACAGGGCCUGUCCGGUGUUUAUGGCAGGAAGUGAAGGGUCUUGCUCAGAAGCCUUCCAGAACUUUCCCAGGCUAAGUCACAGAUUUUGUUAUGCGUAUAAAGUCAACGCUAUUCCACGCUAUAAAAAAGCAAAUUCCCACGCACCUGCUGAUGGAGGUGUUUCUUCAUGGAGAAGUUUCUUCCAGUCCCAGCAUGUUUCUGUUGGUUACAAAUGCCUGCCGUUUAUAGACUUUUCCAGAACAUUCCCUACUUAGAACUUUCUUCUUAGUGUUACAGGGAAAUCUGACUGUGAUUUCUCUGGCCCUAGUUUACAGAAGAAUGCAAGACUCCACGGGUUUUAAAGUGAGGAAAAUGGGAAGAAGGGAGUUUUAUCUUCAAGUCCUUUUAUCAGGACUUUUAUCUUCAAGUCCUGGGAUUGAUGUUGCUUUGGAAUUUCUGCACUGCCUGCUCUUUAGAGGAGAGACUUGCUUUCCUGGGAAGUUACCCAAUCGAAAGCUAACCUAA